AGCGAACGCUGGCGGCAGGCUUAACACAUGCAAGUCGAGCGGGCGUAGCAAUACGUCAGCGGCAGACGGGUGAGUAACGCGUGGGAACGUACCUUUUGGUUCGGAACAACACAGGGAAACUUGUGCUAAUACCGGAUAAGCCCUUACGGGGAAAGAUUUAUCGCCGAAAGAUCGGCCCGCGUCUGAUUAGCUAGUUGGUAGGGUAAUGGCCUACCAAGGCGACGAUCAGUAGCUGGUCUGAGAGGAUGAUCAGCCACAUUGGGACUGAGACAUGGCCCGACGGGCUACGGGAGCGAGCAGUGGGGAAUUGUGGACAAUGGGGGCAGCCCUGAUCCAGCCAUGCCGCGAGAGUGAGGACGGCCCGCGGGUUGUACAGCUGUUUUGCGCUGGAAGAUACAGAUGGUAGCGCAAGAAUAAGCGCCGGCUAACUUCGUGCCAGCCGCCGCCGUAA
rnacentral:rRNA from 1 species